CGGGUGCUAUACAUGCAAGUCGAACGAACUCUGGUAUUGAUUGGUGCUUGCAUCAUGAUUUACAUUUGAGUGAGUGGCGAACUGGUGAGUAACACGUGGGAAACCUGCCCAGAAGCGGGGGAUAACACCUGGAAACAGAUGCUAAUACCGCAUAACAACUUGGACCGCAUGGUCCGAGUUUGAAAGAUGGCUUCGGCUAUCACUUUUGGAUGGUCCCGCGGCGUAUUAGCUAGAUGGUGGGGUAACGGCUCACCAUGGCAAUGAUACGUAGCCGACCUGAGAGGGUAAUCGGCCACAUUGGGACUGAGACACGGCCCAAACUCCUACGGGAGGCAGCAGUAGGGAAUCUUCCACAAUGGACGAAAGUCUGAUGGAGCAACGCCGCGUGAGUGAAGAAGGGUUUCGGCUCGUAAAACUCUGUUGUUAAAGAAGAACAUAUCUGAGAGUAACUGUUCAGGUAUUGACGGUAUUUAACCAGAAAGCCACGGCUAACUACGUGCCAGCAGCCGCGGUAAUACGUAGGUGGCAAGCGUUGUCCGGAUUUAUUGGGCGUAAAGCGAGCGCAGGCGGUUUUUUAAGUCUGAUGUGAAAGCCUUCGGCUCAACCGAAGAAGUGCAUCGGAAACUGGGAAACUUGAGUGCAGAAGAGGACAGUGGAACUCCAUGUGUAGAAG
rnacentral:rRNA from 2 species